GUGGGAGCUAGAGGGGAGGCGGGGCGGAGGCGGGGCGGAGGCGGGGCCUGGCUGUGGCGGCGGCGCCGGUGGGUAGCUGGGUUUAGAGCAGGGGGACUACGGCUCGGCGUUGGGCUCAGUGGGGUCGGACGAAGGACAGGCCGGACGGGAAUCUUCGCGGCGUCUGUUGACGGCUAGCUGAGCGGCCAGUCGAGGCUUCUCGGUCGCCCAGUGCCCCCGCCGCGCGGUCUCAGGCGGCUUCUCGGUUCACCGCAGCCAGCGCCACGGUGGGGGCCCGGCCCAGCGGCACCUGCUGCCGAGCACCGCGCCCGCCAGGUUCUCAUGAUGGGGCUCAUCUUCCCUGAGCUAUGGAGCCACUUCUCUAACCAAGGAUCUGUUCUUUGAAGACUGUUUAGAAGAAAAGGUUAAAUGACCCACUACCAGUGUGCCACCUUUGUGUACGAAAGGAGACACCAGAGAGCAAAGUAUCAUCACAUACUGCGGUAAAGAGAUUUUGCUGUCAAGGUUGAUAUGAUGUCACUUCCUUCAAAGUCCAAGAGCAAGCCUUGUUUGGUCUCUGUCUCAUUCCGCUGCAGGGUGUGUCAAGAAUUCGGUCAAAGGAUUCUGGUUUCCAUUUGCAUUCACUUGAAUAAUUUCCUCACUCCAACUUCUGAUCUAUUUAAUGUUACUGGACAAAUUCACGAAACCA
rnacentral:lncRNA from 1 species